UACCCCGGUAGGCAUAGGUUG
rnacentral:miRNA from 1 species